AUUGAACGCUGGCGGCAGGCCUAACACAUGCAAGUCGAGCGGUAGCACAGAGAGCUUGCUCUCGGGUGACGAGCGGCGGACGGGUGAGUAAUGUCUGGGAAACUGCCUGAUGGAGGGGGAUAACUACUGGAAACGGUAGCUAAUACCGCAUAAUGUCGCAAGACCAAAGUGGGGGACCUUCGGGCCUCAUGCCAUCAGAUGUGCCCAGAUGGGAUUAGCUAGUAGGUGGGGUAAUGGCUCACCUAGGCGACGAUCCCUAGCUGGUCUGAGAGGAUGACCAGCCACACUGGAACUGAGACACGGUCCAGACUCCUACGGGAGGCAGCAGUGGGGAAUAUUGCACAAUGGGCGCAAGCCUGAUGCAGCCAUGCCGCGUGUGUGAAGAAGGCCUUCGGGUUGUAAAGCACUUUCAGCGGGGAGGAAGGCGUUAAGGUUAAUAACCUUGGCGAUUGACGUUACCCGCAGAAGAAGCACCGGCUAACUCCGUGCCAGCAGCCGCGGUAAUACGGAGGGUGCAAGCGUUAAUCGGAAUUACUGGGCGUAAAGCGCACGCAGGCGGUCUGUCAAGUCGGAUGUGAAAUCCCCGGGCUCAACCUGGGAACUGCAUUCGAAACUGGCAGGCUAGAGUCUUGUAGAGGGGGGUAGAAUUCCAGGUGUAGCGGUGAAAUGCGUAGAGAUCUGGAGGAAUACCGGUGGCGAAGGCGGCCCCCUGGACAAAGACUGACGCUCAGGUGCGAAAGCGUGGGGAGCAAACAGGAUUAGAUACCCUGGUAGUCCACGCCGUAAACGAUGUCGAUUUGGAGGUUGUGCCCUUGAGGCGUGGCUUCCGGAGCUAACGCGUUAAAUCGACCGCCUGGGGAGUACGGCCGCAAGGUUAAAACUCAAAUGAAUUGACGGGGGCCCGCACAAGCGGUGGAGCAUGUGGUUUAAUUCGAUGCAACGCGAAGAACCUUACCUGGUCUUGACAUCCACAGAACUUAGCAGAGAUGCUUUGGUGCCUUCGGGAACUGUGAGACAGGUGCUGCAUGGCUGUCGUCAGCUCGUGUUGUGAAAUGUUGGGUUAAGUCCCGCAACGAGCGCAACCCUUAUCCUUUGUUGCCAGCGGUUAGGCCGGGAACUCAAAGGAGACUGCCAGUGAUAAACUGGAGGAAGGUGGGGAUGACGUCAAGUCAUCAUGGCCCUUACGACCAGGGCUACACACGUGCCACAAUGGCAUAUACAAAGAGAAGCGACCUCGCGAGAGCAAGCGGACCUCAUAAAGUAUGUCGUAGUCCGGAUUGGAGUCUGCAACUCGACUCCAUGAAGUCGGAAUCGCUAGUAAUCGUAGAUCAGAAUGCUACGGUGAAUACGUUCCCGGGCCU
rnacentral:rRNA from 1 species